rnacentral:rRNA from 1 species
GACGAGGGUCCUAGCGUUGUUCGGAAUCACUGGGCGUAAAGCGUAUGUAGGCGGCCUGCUAAGUCAGUUGUGAAAUCCCACGGCUCAACCGUGGAAUUGCAAUUAAACUGGCGGGCUUGAGUGCAGGAGAGGUUGGUAGAAUACCCAGUGUAGUGGUGAAAAUACGUAGAUAUUAGGUGGAAUACCGGUGGCGAAAGGCG